GAUGAACGCUGGCGGCGUGCCUAAUACAUGCAAGUCGAGCGAACGGACGAGAAGCUUGCUUCUCUGAUGUUAGCGGCGGACGGGUGAGUAACACGUGGAUAACCUACCUAUAAGACUGGGAUAACUUCGGGAAACCGGAGCUAAUACCGGAUAAUAUUUUGAACCGCAUGGUUCAAAAGUGAAAGACGGUCUUGCUGUCACUUAUAGAUGGAUCCGCGCUGCAUUAGCUAGUUGGUAAGGUAACGGCUUACCAAGGCAACGAUGCAUAGCCGACCGGAGAGGGGAGUAGGCCACACGGAAAGUGAGACCCGCUCCAGAAUCCAACGGGAGGCAGCAGUGGGGGAUCUGCCGCAAUGGGCGAAAGCCUGAAGGAGCAACUCCGCGUGAGUGAUGAAGGUCUGCGGAUCGUAAAACGCUGUUAUUAGUGAAGAACAUAUGUGUAAGUAACUGUGCACAUCUUGACGGUACCUAAUCAGAAAGCCACGGCUAACUACGC
rnacentral:rRNA from 1 species